UAUUGCACAAUGGGGGAAACCCUGAUGCAGCAACGCCGCGUGAGGGACGAAGGCCUUCGGGUCGUAAACCUCUUUUCUGGGGGACGAGACAGGACGGUACCUCAGGAAUAAGUCUCGGCUAACUACGUGCCAGCAGCCGCGGUAAUACGUAGGGUGCGAGCGUUAAUCGGAAUUACUGGGCGUAAAGCGUGCGCAGGCGGUCUUGCAAGACAGUGGUGAAAUCCCCGGGCUCAACCUGGGAACUGCCAUUGUGACUGCAAGGCUGGAGUACGGCAGAGGGGGAUGGAAUUCCGCGUGUAGCAGUGAAAUGCGUAGAUAUGCGGAGGAACACCGAUGGCGAAGGCAGUCCCCUGGGCCUGUACUGACGCUCAUGCACGAAAGCGUGGGGAGCAAACAG
rnacentral:rRNA from 1 species